AGAUGAAUGAAUUAGAUGAAGACGUGGCAAAUGAUGACAGUGAAUCUGAUGACAUAAUGCAAACUGAAGCAACUGCAGAACACACUGAGGAAGAAUCAGAACAGCAGGACAAGACAGCUGAUGAUGAAACUGCAGAAGAAGGGCAAACUGCAAACACAGAAUCUGUUGAAGAGGGUGAGACCACUGGCGAAGAGACUUCAGAGGAUGGCCAGACUGCUGAAGCAGUAGCUGCUGGAGAGGAUGAAAUAGCUGGUUGUGACACUGCAGAAGAAGGUGAGACAGCUGAGGGUGAAAAUGCAGAAGAUGGGCAAACUGCUGAAGCUAAAACUUCAAGAGAUGGUGAGACAACAGAAGACGAAUCUGCAGAAGAGGAUGAAACAGCUGAAGAUAAAGCUUCAGAAGAUGAACAAAUUUCAAAUGCAGAAACCACUGCAGAAAAUGAACAAACUUCUGAAGGUGAAACUGGAGAAGAAGGUAAGACAGGUAAUGAAGACACUGCAGAAGAGCAUGAAACUGCAGAAGAAGGACAAAUUGCUGAAGAUGAAACUGGAGAAAAAGGUGUGACAGUUAAUGACGACACUGCAGAAGAUCAUGAGACGGCUAAAAGUGAAACUGCAGAAGAAGGACAAAAUGCUGAAGAUGAAACUGGAGAAGAAGGUGAGACAAUAAGCAAUGACACUACUGAAGAGCAUGAGACAGCUGAAAAUGAAACUGCUGAAGAUGGAGAAACUGAUGAAGAUAAGACUGUAGAAGAAGGUAAAAAAGCGAAAGAUAAAACUUCAGAAGAUGGACGGACCAUUAAAGCAGAAACUAUUGGAGAAGAUGAAAUAACUGAAGAUGAAACUGCAGGGGAGAGUGAGGCAUUAGCUGAAAGCAUAUCUUUAGAAGGAGAGACUGCUGAAGCUGAAACCGUGGAAAAGAGCAAUAUUGAUGAUGAUGAAACUGAAGAAAAGGGUGAGACAGCUGAUGGCAACACUGCAGAAGGGCAUGUGAUGCCUGAGAAUGAAUCUGUAGAAGAUGGGGAAGCUGAAACUGCAAGAGCGAGUGAUACAGAUAAGGACAAUGCAAAAGAGUGUGAGAUAGCUGAAGAUGAAAUGGCAGAAAAUGGCCUAACUGUUGAAAUUGGAACUGCAAGAGAUGGUGAUAAACCAGCAGAAGAUGAGCAAAAUGCUGAAGCUGAUGCAGGUGAGGGAUAUACGGCUGAUAUUAAAACUGUAGAUGAUGAGCAAACUGCUGAAGCUGAAAGUGCUGAAGAGAGUGAGAUAGCUAAAGAUGAAACAGAAGCAGAGAGAGAUACUGCAGAGUGGACAUCAGUUGAAGAAAAAGGAACUGAUGUAAAAAGAGCCUAUGAAGAUGAAGACAACACAGAUGAUGUAGGAACUGCAGGAGUUGUGUCAACUGAUGAAAAAGGAACUUCUGAAGCAGAAACAGCAGAUGAGGUGACCACCGAAGCUGAAACUAUAAUGUCUGAAGAGAAAGAUGCUGUUGAAGAUGGCAACAUGGCAGAAGACAGAAAUGCUGUGGUAGAGCUGACAGAGCAAACUCCUGAUCAUGAGACGACUGGAGAAGAGACAGACAAGAGUCAAUCAAAUGAUGAGGAAUACAAGGAAACUGUCAGUUGUGAAGCAGCAAAUGAGGAAGAUGUUCUUUCUAACAUCGAG
ensembl:lncRNA